AUUGAACGCUGGCGGUAUGCUUAACACAUGCAAGUCGAACGGCAGCAUGGUCUAGCUUGCUAGACUGAUGGCGAGUGGCGGACGGGUGAGUAACGCGUAGGAAUAUGCCUUGAAGAGUGGGACAACUUGGGGAAACCCAAGCUAAUACCGCAUGUACUCGAGAGAGUAAAGCUGGGGACCUUUAGGCCUGGCGCUUUAAGAUUAGCCUGCGUCCGAUUAGCUAGUUGGUAGGGUAAAGGCCUACCAAGGCGACGAUCGGUAGCUGGUCUGAGAGGAUGAUCAGCCACACUGGAACUGAGAGACGGUCCAGACUCCUGCGGGAGGCAGCAGUGGGGAAUAUUGGACAAUGGGGGGAACCCUGAUCCAGCAAUGCCGCGUGUGUGAAGAAGGCCUGAGGGUUGUAAAGCACUUUCAGUGGGGAGGAGGUUUGGAAGGUUAAGGGCUAUUCAAGUGGACGUUACCCACAGAAGAAGCACCGGCUAACUCCGUGCCAGCCGCCGCAGUAA
rnacentral:rRNA from 1 species